UGGGGACCAACGGUCACUGGCUCCGGGUAACUGCCCUGUAGUCACGCGCGCCUCCCGCUUCCCCCGGCCCAACGGCUGGCGGUGGGGCCGUGCCGCUGAGCCGCAGUCUCCUUCCUGCGCCCCCCCCCGUGCGCCCCACAUCUACGGUGAGCCGCGUCGUGCGACGUGCAGACACCAUACCACAGCAAGCAUGGAGCCCGUUCAGCUCAAGACAGCAGUUAUGAACAUUGUAAACACCUUGCACGUUAUUGUGCAGUUUAUGCUGAAUCAGAACCUGCAAGACCAGGCAGCGAGGAGUCGGCUACGGCAGCGCGGCGGCAGGAGUGAUGAGGAUAUGGACAUGGAAUUCUAUCAAACCACGGGACCCGGUGCUUUGGAGAUCAUGCUUUUAGUGGGGCAGGUUAUAGCCGUGGAACGCCGAUUCUGGGCCUGGGAAACAAGCACAGACUGGUGGGACUGCAUAGUGUUGCAGGUGUGGGACGAUUCCCAGUGGCUGCGAAACUUUCACAUGCGUAAGGGCACUUUCUUGGAACUUUGUGACUUGCUUUCCCCUGCCCUGAAGCGCCAGAAUACCAAGAUGAGAGCAGCCCUCACAGAUGAGAAGCGAGUGGCGAUAGCCCUGUGAAAGCUUGCAACGCCAGACAGCUACCGGUCAGUCGGGAAUCAAUUUGGAGUGGGCAAAUCUACUGUGGGGGCUGCUGUGAUGCAAGUAGCCAAAGCAAUCACUCAGGUGCUGCUAUAAAAGGUAGUGACUCUGGGAAAUGCAGGUCAUAGUGGAUGGCUUUGCUGCAAUGGGAUUCCCUAACUGUGGUGGGGCGAUAGAUGGAACCCAUAUCCCUAUCUUGGCACCAGGGUACCCAGUACAUAAACCGCAAGGGGUACUUUUCAGUGGUGCUGCAAGCACUUGUGGAUCACAAGGGACGUUUCACCAACAUCAACGUGGGCUGGCCGGGAAGGGUUCAUGACGCUCGCGUCUUCAGGAACACUACUCUGUUUAAAGGGCUGCAGCAAGGGACUUACUUUCCGGACCAGAAAAUAACCGUUGGGGAUGUUGAAAUGCCAAUAGUUAUUCUUGGGGACCCAGCCUACCCCUUAAUGCCAUGGCUCAUGAAGCCAUACACAGGCAGCCUAGACAGGAGUCAGGAGCUGUUCAACUACAGGUUGAGCAAGUGCCGAAUGGUGGUAGAAUGUGCAUUUGGCUGUUUAAAAGGUCGCUGGCGAUCGUUACUGACUCGCUCAGACCUCAGCCAAACCAUUGUUAUUUCUGCUUGCUGUGUGCUCCACAAUCUCUGUGAGAGUAAGGGCGAGACCUUUAUGGCGGGGUGGGAGGCUGAGGCAAAUCGCCUGGCUGCUGAUUACACGCAACCAGACACCAGGGUGAUUAGAGGAGCACACCAAGAAGUGCUGUGCAUCAGAGAAGCUUUGAAAACCAGUUUCAUGACUGGCCAGGCUACCGUGUGAAAUUUCUGUUUGUUUCUCCUUCAUGAAAACCCGCCCCCUUUAUUGACUCAUUUUCUGUAAGGAACCCACUCUUCCCCUUCCCCCAGCUUGCUUUCAAAGGAAAUAAAGUCACUAUCGUUUAAAAAUCA